UAAAGCUACCAAGCGACGAUUCUGUAGCGGUCUGAGAGGAUGAUCCGCCACACUGGGACUGAGACCACGGCCCAGACUCCUACGGGAGGCAGCAGUGGGGAAUAUUGGACAAUGGGCGCAAGCCUGAUCCAGCCAUGCCGCGUGUGUGAAGAAGGCCUUAUGGUUGUAAAGCACUUUAAGCGAGGAGGAGGCUACUUUAGUUAAUACCUAGAGAUAGUGGACGUUACUCGCAGAAUAAGCACCGGCUAACUCUGUGCCAGCAGCCGCGGUAAUACAGAGGGUGCAAGCGUUAAUCGGAUUUACUGGGCGUAAAGCGCGCGUAGGCGGCUAAUUAAGUCAAAUGUGAAAUCCCCGAGCUUAACUUGGGAAUUGCAUUCGAUACUGGUUAGCUAGAGUGUGGGAGAGGAUGGUAGAAUUCCAGGUGUAGCGGUGAAAUGCGUAGAGAUCUGGAGGAAUACCGAUGGCGAAGGCAGCCAUCUGGCCUAACACUGACGCUGAGGUGCGAAAGCAUGGGGAGCAAACAGGAUUAGAUACCCUGGUAGUCCAUGCCGUAAACGAUGUCUACUAGCCGUUGGGGCCUUUGAGGCUUUAGUGGCGCAGCUAACGCGAUAAGUAGACCGCCUGGGGAGUACGGUCGCAAGACUAAAACUCAAAUGAAUUGACGGGGGCCCGCACAAGCGGUGGAGCAUGUGGUUUAAUUCGAUGCAACGCGAAGAACCUUACCUGGCCUUGACA
rnacentral:rRNA from 1 species